UGCCUACGGGGGGCAGCAGUAGGGAAUCUUCCACAAUGGACGAAAGUCUGAUGGAGCAACGCCGCGUGAGUGAAGAAGGGUUUCGGCUCGUAAAGCUCUGUUGGUAGUGAAGAAAGAUAGAGGUAGUAACUGGCCUUUAUUUGACGGUAAUUACUUAGAAAGUCACGGCUAACUACGUGCCAGCAGCCGCGGUAAUACGUAGGUGGCAAGCGUUGUCCGGAUUUAUUGGGCGUAAAGCGAGUGCAGGCGGGUCAAUAAGUCUGAUGUGGGAGACUUUUGGGCAACCGGAGAAUU
rnacentral:rRNA from 1 species